GGGCCUAUAGCUCAGUCGGUUAGAGCACCACGUUUACACCGUGGGGGUCGGGGGUUCAAGUCCCUCUGGGCCCACCA
rnacentral:tRNA from 1 species